UGUUGAAGCUUCCUCCGGUGUUGCAGCUCCGAGGGUAAUGCUUGUCCAGGGCUUCUGCCAGUCAAGACAGAAAGAAAACCCUGCAUCUCCCACAGCUGUCUUUCUAGAUAAAUCUCAGCGCCCCCGAAACAGCUCUGAGAACAGAGAGGUCACCUUCUCCUAGAAGGAAAAAAAAAAAAAAAAAGGAUAUUCAGAAAUAACCACUUUGGAAACCACAGCUGUCUGAUUUGGGUACCAAGAGGUGGAUGCUUGGUCUUGCCAAAGUUUUUGUUUUCUCCCAACCACUGCAAAGAUAACACAAAAUGA